rnacentral:rRNA from 1 species
GUUGUUGCAGUUAAAAAGCUCGUAGUUGGAUUUUGGUGUUUGACAAAUGGUCUGCCUUCGGGUCUGCACUGUUUGUUGGCACUUCUUUUCUGGGGAACUCACUGCUCUUAAUUGAGGGGUGCUGUAACGCAGAUCGUUUACUUUGAAAAAAUUAGAGUGUUCAAAGCAGGCCAACGCAUUGAAUACAUUAGCAUGGAAUAAUGGAAUAGGACUUUGGUCUUAUUUUGUUGGUUUCUAAGGCCGAGGUAAUGAUUAAUAGGGAUAGUUGGGGGCGUUUAUAUUCCGUUGUCAGAGGUGAAAUUCUUGGAUUUACGGAAGAUAAACUACUGCGAAAGCAUUUGCCAAGGAUGUUUUCAUUAAUCAAGAACGAAAGUUAGGGGAUCGAAGACGAUCAGAUACCGUCGUAGUCUUAACCAUAAACCAUGCCGACUAGGGAUCAGCAGACGUUCUUUAACGACUCUGUUGGCACCUUGUGAGAAAUCAAAGUUUUUGGGUUCCGGGGGGAGUAUGGUCGCAAGGCUGAAACUUAAAGGAAUUGACGGAAGGGCACCACCAGGAGUGGAGCCUGCGGCCUU